CUCAGUUCGGAUUGGAGUCUGCAACCCGACUCCAUGAAGCUGGAUUCGCUAGUAAUCGCGCAUCAGCCACGGCGCGGUGAAUACGUUCCCGGGCCUUGUACACACCGCCCGUCAAGCCAUGGGAGCCGGGGGUGCCUGAAGUUCGUGACCGCAAGGAGCGACCUAGGGCAAAACUGGUGACUGGGGCUAAGUCGUAACAAGGUAGC
rnacentral:rRNA from 1 species